rnacentral:lncRNA from 1 species
CUUGAUUCUGGAAACUAAGGAGUUUCUCAUGAAUUGUGUCACACUGAGAUGGGAGUUGUCAAUCCAUGGGACUAGAACCGGCUCUCAGAACCUAAAUGAAGAACAAGAAUACAGUUGCACAGCUGGGAGAGCAGGUGAAUGUGUAGCAGGUCAAAUGAAGUCUCAUGACCAAACUCAGAGUUGUAAGAAGGACUCUACAAAGGAGGCAUCGUUCACUGUGGGCCGUCUAUGUAAAAGUCGAACAAAGCAUGUACUUACAUGACAUCAUGUAUUUAUACCACAAGUUUUU